GAUUUUGGGGGCGCUUACGCUGCGAGGGGAAGGGGAGGGGUUUGACCCCUCGCCCCGUCUGGGGUCGCUGUACGAGGUGGGUUUGAGCUCGGUGUGUUUAGGGUAGUUCUGAAGAGGGGUUUUGGGGGGGUUUAAGCUUCCCCCCCCCCCCCCCCCCAUUUAGGAUAGCUCUAAAGGGGAGUUUGGGGGGGGUUCCCCCCCAUUUGGGGUAGCCCUGUAAAGGGGUUUUCAGAGGGUUUGGCUCCCUCCCCACUCCGGGUCUCUUCGUUUAAACCCCUCCCCAUCCCAUGUGGAAUAACUCUUAAAGGGGGAGUUUGUAGGGGUUUAAACACCUCCCCCCGUUUAGGGCAGCUCUGCCAGGGGAGUUUGGGGGGGUUAAACUCCCUUUUUCCCUUAUCCAGAGCAGCUCUUCCCAGCGGGUUUUGGGGGCUUUAAACACCCCCCAUUUAGGGUCUGGGGGGAUUUAACAUCCCCCUGCCUGGGGUAGCUUUACAAAAGGGGGUCUGUGUCCCCCUCGUUUACCUAAAUUAUUUCUGCCAGGAGGGAAGCUGUGGGCUCGCAUCUGGCCAGAUGUUGAGUGCAGGGGGCUUCGCAGCAGAACAGAGCAGGGGUUAGGAGGGGUUUAAGCCCUCGCUUAGGGCCGGCCUGGGAUCUGGACCCCGGUGGGACUGAAGGGGAGGGGUCGCCAAAACCCCGCUGUGAGCUCAAGCAGGAGCCCCCCAGCUCCAGGCCCCCCCCCCCUUCCCCCCCUACAUUCCCAGCCUGUGGAUGUUGCAUCCCUGGAGAUGAUGCCCCCCGAGGAGGAGAGCCCGGAUGGGGACAGGGACGGUGGCCUUGUCCUCCUGCACGGCCCGAAGAGCGGCAGCGCACGGAAGCAGGGCUGUGACCCCUUUGCCCAGACCCAGCGCAGCAAACUCCAGCACCGGCGGGCCCGGAUCAACCAACAGAUCAACAAGGAAAUGAGGAUGAGAGCAGGAGCAGAAAACCUCUUCCGGGCCACCAGCAACCACAAGGUGAAGGAAACGGUGGCUCUGGAGCUGAGCUAUGUCAACUCCAACCUUCAGCUCCUGAAGGAAGAGCUGGAAGAGCUCAACAGCAGCAUGGACGUGUACCAGAACGACAGGUUCUUGUCUUCUCCCAGUGAAUCCAUCAGCGUUCCCAUGAUCCCUCUGGGACUCAAGGAGACCAAGGAGCUGGAUUUGCUGGUCCCACUCAAGGAUUUCAUCAGUGAACACUAUGGAGAGGAGGGUGUACUGUUUGAAAAGGAAAUCAAGGAAUUCAUGGAGCUGCGACAGGCCAUGCGCACCCCGAGCCGCAACGAGGCCGGAUUGGAGCUCCUGAUGGAAUAUUACAACCAGCUCUACUUCCUUGACAGCCGGUUCUUCCCUCCCACCAAAACCUUGGGCGUCUUCUUCCACUGGUACGACUCCCUGACGGGGGUCCCAUCCCACCAGAGGGCUCUGGCCUUCGAGAAGGGAAGCGUCCUCUUCAACCUCGGGGCGCUGCACACCCAGAUCGGAGCGCGGCAGGACCGCGCCUCCCUGCCCGGCCUCAACCAGGCCAUCGAUGCCUUCCAGAAGGCAGCUGGUGCCUUUAACUACUUGAAGGAAAACUUCUCCAACGCUCCCAGCCUGGACAUGAGCGCGGCCUCCCUGACCAUGCUGGUGAGGCUGAUGGUGGCCCAGGUCCAGGAAUGUGUCUUUGAGAAGAUGACCUUGCUGCGUGCCCAGAACGACUUCCUGGCCCGCCUGCAGCUGGCUCAGGAGGCAGCAAGGGUGGAAGAUGUUUAUUCCCUGGUGCACCAGACCAUGAACCAGCCCCACGUCAAGGAUUACGUUCCCUUCUCCUGGACCACCAUGGUCCAGGUCAAGUCGGAGCAUUUCAAAGCCCUCUCCCAUUAUUUCGCUGCCAUCGCCCUCUGCGACUGCCCCGCUCCCUCGGAUGCCGAGCUGCUGGAGCAGGAGAAGGCUUUCCUGCAAUUCCAUGUCACCAUGCCAGAGGGGCCGUCACUUCGUGUCCUGCUGCAGGAUCCCGAGGAGAGGAGGAAGCUGGGCAAAGCUCACCUCAAAAAAGCCAUCAUGAAGCACGAGGAGGCCAUGAGGAUCCAUGGAUUGUGCAAGAUCCUAAGGAAGAUGGAUAUCCUGCAGGAGGUCCUGUCCUUCGCCCACAAACGCUCCCUGAGCAAAUAUUCCGAGAUCGACCACGAGGAGGAUUUCUUCGAGACGGGAGAGGCUCCGGACAUCCAUCCCAAAACGCACCAGAAACCUGAAAUCAAGUCCCCCAACUUCUCCCAGGUGAAGGUGACCGACCUCUUCCACAGGCUGGGCCCCCUCUCCGUGUUCUCAGCCAAGAACAAAUGGUAUCCAGCUCGGAGAGUCCACCUGAUGAGAGGAGAGAAUGGCUUUGGAUUCACCCUGCGAGGAGACUCCCCCGUCCUCAUUGCUGGGGUCAUCCCGGGGGGCUGUGCUGCUGAGGCUGGGCUGAAGGAGGGAGACUACAUCAUCUCCGUGAAUGGCAAGGACUGCAAGUGGUCCAAGCACGCCGAGGUUGUCCAGCUGCUGAAGAGCACCGGGAAGGAGGGGGUGGACAUCGGAGUCAUCACCCUGCAGGGCUCAGAAUGUUCCAAAGCCGUGGACAGGAAGGCAGCAGUGACGUCCUCGGGAUCUGGGAUGCCGAAGAGCAACAAGGAGAACAGCAGGAAGAGCCUGAUGAACAGCAAGAGCGCCAGCACGCUGCUGGUGUGGAGCAAGAAGAGCAAGAGGAGCAAGAAGAGCACCUACAGCGGUGUCCCCUUCACCGCCGUGGGGGACAACGAGGCCAUGUACUGACCGUGCUCCACGGUGUCCCCUGAGCUCCAGGACUGGCUGCCCGGGAAGAUUCCCAAGCUUGGCUGGGCUGUGAGGACUCCCAGACCCGGGAAUGCGCCGCUGGUCGGAUCCGCGCCGAGAGCAUCUCCUGGGCUUUCUCUGCGAGGUACAAGAUGGAGCUGCUCUCCAAGAGCUGCUGGAGGAGCUGAAUCCUUCAGCUGAAUCCCUCCAGACUCCCUUUUUUUGGGAGAGGGGACAACACGGGCAUCGAUGACUUGUGGUGAUCCCAUCACAGGGUCCAACCCAGGCAGCAUCUCCCAGGUGGGGCUAUCCCAACAAAGUAGGACAGUUUGACCAUUUUUAGUGCUUUUGGGGUGUUUUUUUGGGGGAAUGAACCCCCAGCUUGGCUCAGAAAAUCCAGCCCAGCUGCCCAGCCGGAUUCUUUGGAAGAAAAGGGAAGGACUUAACGUGCAGUUGUUGUCUGGCUUUUUUAAUCAGGAGACAUGGAUUGCCCUAAAUAUUCUGUGAGGAGAUUAAUAGAUAAGAGCCUUUUGGGGGAGUUUAUUUUUCCUGGGAGGAGAUUAAAAUUCCAGGAAGAUAUCUCCUCCAGAUUAUUAAACUCCUAAAUUUGUGCUACUGUUGGAUCUUGCACAUGUUGCUAAUUCCCUAACACUGCUGUCAGCAUUCCUGGGCUGGCCUGAUGGAUCCAGGCAUCUUGGUAAUUAUCCUGGAAACGCUGGGAGACUCCGCAUCCACAAAACAGAUUGGCAAAAUUUCCUCCAUCCUGUUUCUGCCUGGUGUGUCUUUUUUUUUUUUUUUGAAGGCUGAGGAGCUGUCUGGUCUUCAGUGCUUGGAUGAUCUUGGGAGGUAGAAAAUUCCCUGGGGAGAGAUGGGAUUGUAUUUUUGUACUUUCUAAGGAAUUUUUAGGGUUUAAAGGAGCAAUGGGAUCUUGUGGCCACAGUGUCCCCUGGGAUUGCGACUUCUUCUAGUGGCUCCUUGUCCAUUUUCCCAGCUUUUAACCCUGAUUUUAUUUAAGGAAAACUUCCAGGAAAAAAAGCCAGGCUGGACGGGGUGGUUGAAGUUGUCCCAUGGCUGGGGCUGGAACAGGAUGGGCCUUAAGAUCCCAUCCAAGCCAACCCAUCCUGGGAAUUUAUGAGCUCAAGGAGGACUUCUUAGCUCUGCUGUUGGCCAGGAGGCCUCUCCAUAGCCAAGAGGCAUCACCACACCGGAUUCCGGAUCCGCCUUCCAGUGCCAUCUGUAGCAGCCAGGCUUCCCACGUCAUCUUCCCGGCUGCUUGGCGUGGGAGCGGGAAGGAAAGGAGGGGGGUGGGGUCACAGAAAAGGCCACCUUGCCCUUAAAACAUCCCGGCAGCAUCUUCCCACCAUCCUAAAAACGUGGGAUGCCACCACGGACAUCUCCGUGCCGGAGAGGGAUUUAUUUAGGAGAAGCCGUCGCGCUCCGCCCGCAUCACCCAACCCCAGCGUUGGCGAAGGGGUUGUGUUCUGUGGGAUUGGGAUAAUUUCCCUAAUUCCAGGAUUUUAUGUCGGGCUUGUUAUGGGUUUGUUUUUGUUUGGUU